rnacentral:tRNA from 1 species
AGGGAUGUAGCGCAGCUUGGUAGCGCAUUUUUUUUUUGUCAAAAAUGUCACGGGUUCAAAUCCUUUCCUUUCAUCCCUA